CGUACGCGUGUUGGGUACAGUCGUGUGCAGAGAUGCUGUGCCGGUUGAGCGUUAGGUGGCUGCAGCCGCGGCCUGCCCUGCAGCUCCGGGGCUUGGGCCCACCGGUCGUACCGGCCCCCACCGGCGGCGCCAAGCCCUCCGCUCUGCCAUUGUGGGCGGUGGCAUCAGUCUCUGCAGUUGGCCCGAGCGGCGCGGGUGGCUGGUAUGAAGCCCUGGCUACGUCGGCGCCGGUGCAGGGCGCCGAGGACGUACUGCUCUUUGCGCACACCGCCUCGGGCCUGCCCUGGUGGGGCAGCAUUCUUCUCACCACCGUGGCCCUGCGCGGCGCUAUCACGCUGCCCCUGGCCGCCUACCAGCACUACAUCUUGGCCAAGGUGGAAAAUUUGCAGCCAGAAAUAAAAAGCAUUGCAAGGCACCUUAACCAAGACGUUGCAGUUCGUGCAAAUCAGUUGCGGUGGUCCAAAAGAGCUGCCAGGCUCACUUAUCUAAAGACUAUGCGGAGGCUUGUUUCAGAGCUGUAUGUUCGGGAUAACUGCCACCCUUUCAAAGCCACUGUGUUGGUCUGGAUUCAGCUUCCAAUGUGGAUAUUCAUGUCUGUUGCUCUCCGGAAUUUUAGCACAGGGGCAACACAUUCAGAAGGUUUUUCUGUUCAGGAGCAGUUAGCUACUGGUGGGGUCUUAUGGUUUCCUGACCUCACUGCCCUGGAUUCCACUUGGAUUCUGCCUGUCUCCAUUGGUGUCAUCAACUUAUUAAUAGUGGAGAUUUUUGCUCUGCAAAAAGUUGGAAUGUCUCGUUUCCAGACAUAUAUAACGUACUUUGUUCGUGCAUUAUCGGUGUUGAUGAUUCCAAUUGCAGCGACAGUACCUUCACUCCUGCUGCUGCUGGAACCGCCACAGCCACCUUGGUUUUAUCGUUUGACGAAGUAUUGGCCUCCACCACCAUAGAGGCGAGAACUUUUGCCUCCAAAGUUUCCUCCUUUCAUCAGUCCAGAAUUUGAAGAUUGACUGUUGUAAAUGCCAAAAUCAUUGUAGCUUCUGCCACCUCUGAAAUUGCUUCCGUCGUUACCAAAUCCAUUAUAGCCAUCCCCACUGCCACCAUAGCCACCACCACCAUGGCUUCCACCAAAGGCAUCUCGACCACUGAAGUUUCCUCCACCACCAAAGUUGUCAUUCCCACCAAAACCACCGCCACGACCACCACCAAAGUUUCCAGAACCACUUCGACCUCUUUGGCUGGAUGAAGCACUAGCCAUCUCUUGCUGAGAUAGGGCUUUCCUUACUUCACAGUUGUGGCCAUUCACAGUGUGGUGUUUCUGAAUGACAGUCUUGUCUGUGGGGUCAUGGUCACCAAAGGUUAUGAAAAGUAAAGUCUCUCUUGUUGCCGCUGCCUUGGUUAGUCAUGGUUUCAAUCACUUCAGUUUUCCCAUACUGUUCAGAAUAAUCUCUUAGGUGAUGUUCUUCAGUGUCUUCUUUAAUGCCACCAACAAAAAUCUUUUUCACAGUUAAGUGGGCACCAGGUCUUUGAGAAUCUUCUCUUGAGACGGCCCUCUUUGGUUCCCCAACUCUCCCAUCCACCUUGUGUGGCCUUGCCUUCAUGGCCGCAUCCACCUCCUCCACAGUGGCAUACGUGACAAACCCGAAGCCUCUGGAGCGCUUGGUGUUUGGAUCCCUCGUUACCACACAGUCUGUGAGCGUUCCCCUUUGUUGAAAAUGGCUCCCCAGACUCUAAUCGGUUGUUUCAAAGCUCAAAGCUCAAACCUCCGAUGAAGAGCUUCUGCAGAUGUUCGGGCUCUUUGGGAGACUCCGACUUACACAUGAUGGCAGUAGAUGGGGGAGACUUCAAUGACGCUUACUUGGCGGUGUCCAUGGGCUCAAUUAAAUGUUAAAUGUUUUUAAGCUGUCACUUAGACAUAGUACCAUCAUUAAUCCUGUGUAAAAUAAGUUUCCUUGUUUCUAAAAUAGACACCAUAAUGUCUGUGAGAAUUAGUGAAAUGACAAGUGUCUAUUAUAGUACUUUUCAUGUAAUAAUAAUAUUAUUAUAAAAUACUCUGUAAAAACAGAACAAUACAAACUCACUACAUUUCUAAGGAGAAAUAAUACCUGUUAUAACUGAGGAAACCCCCAGAUCAAGUGAAAUAGGAGCAGUAAAGUUGUAGUGAGAGGUUGGAUUCAAAUCGAUUGUUCUCUACUGGUUAUGCUCCAGCCUCAUGGGCCUUUCACAGAACUUGCUGCUGCGUUCUCCUAGAUUUCGCCAACUUUGUCGAAUACCGUUGACCAAGUCAGAUUCAGACACUCCUUAUAAAGACCUCUUUGCUGCCUUUUACGCCAAGUUCAUUUCAAGAAAAUGACAUACUUUCUAGUAAUUUUGAAACAAUUACAAGUUUCACUGUUAAUGUAUUUAGAAGAUUUAGAAAUUCAGAUAUGGUUUAAUUUGCUUUUUAAAAUCAUGAGCUCUGUGAAGUACUGUGGAUUAAGAUAUAAUCCAGAUAUAUUUGAUAGUACUUAAAAUCUUUUAAGUGCUAAAAACGUAGUAUGUUCAGUUAUAUAAAAGUGGGAUCAAAGUGUCGGGCCCUGUUUAUAAAAUUACAACUUGCGAGAGGUGCUAGAACUUUGGAGAACAGGACUAGAGAAGUUUGAUAAAAUAAAAGAAUCCAGUGAAGUGAUUUUUAAAAUUUUGGGGGUGUGGAGGAUCAUAGACCCGGUUGAUCAUUUAAUAAAGCCAUGGUUUUCUCUUCAGAAAAGUCCUGGAACUCACAACAUGGAGGCCUUUAUUGACCCCCCUUAUGGUAAUUCCUGGUUAAUAAGUAUUUUUCUAAUGGAACAUACAUUGAUGAUGAGUUAAUGUGUGAUUUUAAAAUGAAAAGAACUUGAGAUACAUGCAGUGGAGUAGUCCACGCAUGUAAGAAAGUACCUAAUAGGGUAGGUAGUGUUGCUUCUCAACCUUGCUCUGAAGGAAUACAAAAAUUGUACAUUUCCUUUCUCUGUAAUUUAAGGAGUCUAGAAUACAGAGCAUAGAACUAAGUACUGCUAGAGCCCAAAGUAGAAAAUCUUAAGCUAAUCAUAUAGAAUAUGAAGGAACCCAAUAUCUCUGAUAAUCCUUUAAGAAAGUGAAAAACUGGUACUAGGGUCAAGGUUAUGCUAAUUGGGAGACUCCUUUAGACCUGUACACCUUGGUAUGAUAAUGCAUAACAUUAAAUUGGUCUGAGGAUCUUAAUAUUACAAAAUUCAUAAUUUCAUAGCUUAGAAAAAAGGAUCAAAGUAAAUUUUAAAAGCUCAAAAGAUCAGGAUAGUAUUUAGCAAGUUUUAAAAAUAAUGACUGAAUACAUGAAGUUACAUUAGUUACACUAUUACUGGAAAUUAAAUAGUAGGUGAAGAAUCAUCUCAUUCAGCCAGAGAGCAUGCAUAUGAACAUUGUGUAUUCAGUCAUUAGAGAAUAUAGGUAGAUCACAUAAUUGUGAAGUAAGCUUGUGGUGCAGAAUUCUGGAGACAGAGCUGUUUGAGUCUUUCCUGUCAUCUCAAAGUAUAGUAGACCCUUCUGUCUUCCUAGCCCCAAAGCCACAACCAUUAAGAGCUUCAAACUGUCAGCAGCUAGAAUCCCAACAAACAGCUGAAACAGACUUCAUUAGAUACGGACUAACAUAGCCACAGAUAGGGAAUGAUUCUGUGACUCUUGAACAUAUUAACUUGACUAUAGUCGUUUGUGGAAUACAGUUUCAAAGUAAAAGGGACUAUUAGAAAACUUUGAACUUUAUUUGGUAAUUGUGUUGCUCUUGUUAAUAUUGCAUUGCUGUUUUGGAACUCUUAUUGUCAGGUAAAAUAUAUAAUGAUGUUUACUGGUAUAUUUGUUUUCUGUGGAUGCUGUUAACAAAAUCUUUAUGCUGCUUAUGCACCAGGAGGAAGAUGCUAUUGAAUGUAUUUGAUAUUAUAAGAUAUAUCUCUUUCAAAUUUUUCUUUUAAGAGAUAGAUUUAGGGAUUGCCCCUGAGGUCCUACAAAAGAGGGUCCUCCCCACAGUUCUCCACCAGUAUACUCAGAAAGCCUAACCUUCAUAUCUGUUUCACCUAAGACCUUCCACAAUCUCAGUUAAGAACUGAUGAAAUAAAAUUCAUGUUUUACGGCAA